UACGAAGGGUGCAAACGUUGCUCGGAAUUAUUGGGCGUAAAGCGCACGUAGGCGGCUUAGCAAGUCGGAUGUGAAAGCCCUCGGCUCAACCAAGGAAGUGCAUCCGAAACUGCUGAGCUUGAGUACUUAAGAGGAUCGCGGAAUUCCCAGUGUAGCGGUGAAAUGCGUAGAUAUUGGGAGGAACACCAGUGGCGAAGGCGGCUCACUGGACCGGUACUGACGCUGAUGCGCGAAAGCGUGGGGAGCAAACGGG
rnacentral:rRNA from 1 species